rnacentral:rRNA from 1 species
GGGAUAUGACGCACGGAGGCAUCUCCUGUGCGUGGAAAAGAAACUUCGGUCAAGAAUGACUUCGCCGGCCUAUCAGGUAGGUGGGUGAGGUAACGCUUCACCAAGCCUACGACGGGUAGCCGGCCUGAGAGGGUGACCGGCCACACUGGGACUGAGACACGGCCCAGACUCCUACGGGAGGCAGCAGUGGGGAAUAUUGCACAACGGGCGCAAGCCUGAUGCAGCAACGCCGCGUGAGGGACGACGGCCUUCGGGUUGUAAACCUCUUUUAGUAGGGAAGAAGCGAAAGUGACGGUACCUGCAGAAAAAGCACCGGCUAACUACGUGCCAGCAGCCGCGGUAAUACGUAGGGUGCGAGCGUUGUCCGGAAUUAUUGGGCGUAAAGAGCUCGUAGGCGGUCUGUCGCGUCUGCUGUGAAAACCCGAGGCUCAACCUCGGGCCUGCAGUGGGUACGGGCAGACUAGAGUGCGGUAGGGGAGAAUGGAAUUCCUGGUGUAGCGGUGGAAUGCGCAGAUAUCAGGAGGAACACCGAUGGCGAAGGCAGUUCUCUGGGCCGUAACUGACGCUGAGGAGCGAAAGCGUGGGGAGCGAACAGGAUUAGAUACCCUGGUAGUCCACGCCGUAAACGUUGGGCGCUAGAUGUGGGGACCAUUCCACGGUUUCCGUGUCGCAGCUAACGCAUUAAGCGCCCCGCCUGGGGAGUACGGCCGCAAGGC